rnacentral:rRNA from 1 species
GACGAACGCUGGCGGCGUGCUUAACACAUGCAAGUCGAACGGAAAGGCCCGGCUUUUGUGGGGUGCACGAGUGGCGAACGGGUGAGUAACACGUGAGUAACCUGCCCUUGACUUUGGGAUAACUUCAGGAAACAGGGGCUAAUACCGGAUAGGAGCUCCUGCUGUAUGGUGGGGGUUGGAAAGUUUCGGCGGUUGGGGAAGGUCUCGAGGCAUAUCAGCUUGUUGGUGGGGUAGUGGCUUAACAAGGCUUUGACAGGUGGACUAGCUGAAAUGGUAACAGGACGACCUAUGUCUGAAAUACGGCCCAGACGACUACAGGAGGCAUGAGUGAGGAGUAUUGCACAAGGUUGGGUAUCCUAAUGCAUCAAUGCCGCGGUCGGGGUGAGAGGCUUCUGGUAGUAAACUUGUUUCCCCUGUACAGAACCGAGACUGACGGUAAUGGGUAAAGAAGCACCGGCUAACUACGUG